CAACUCUCAACAACGGAUAUCUUGGCUCCCGUAACGAUGAAGAACGCAGCGAAAUGCGAUACGUAGUGUGAAUUGCAGAAUUCCGUGAACCAUCGAAUCUUUGAACGCAAAUUGCGCUC
rnacentral:rRNA from 1 species